CGCCUGUUUAUCAAAAACAUGUCUAUAUGAUUGUUAUAUAAAGUCUAGCCUGCCCACUGAUUUGUUUUAAAGGGCCGCGGUAUAUUGACCGUGCGAAGGUAGCAUAAUCAUUAGUCUUUUAAUUGGAGGCUUGUAUGAAUGGUUGGACAAAAAGUAAGCUGUCUCGGUUAUAAUAAUUGAACUUAACUUUUAAGUGAAAAGGCUUAAAUGUUUCAGGGGGACGAUAAGACCCUAUAAAGCUUGACAAUAAUUUCGUUAUAUUAUAAAUUGUUAGUAUAACUUGAUUUUAACGGGAGUUUGUUUCGUUGGGGCGACGGGAAUAUAAUAAAUAACUGUUCUUUUAAAUAUAAUUACAAAAAUACUUGGUAAAUAAUUGAUCCUCUAUUAGAGAUUAAAAGAUUAAGUUACUUUAGGGAUAACAGCGUAAUCUUCUUUGAGAGUCCACAUCGACAAGAAGGUUUGCGACCUCGAUGUUGAAUUAAGGUAUCCUUAUAAUGCAGCAGUUAUAAAGGAGGGUCUGUUCGACCUUUAAAUCCUUACAUGAUCUGAGUUCAAACCGG
rnacentral:rRNA from 1 species